rnacentral:rRNA from 1 species
UACAACAUAGUGUUAAUGAACUGGAUCCCAUUAGAACUCCACAGUUAAGCGCGCUCAGGCUAGAGUAGUACUGGGAUGGGUGAUCGUCGGGGAAGUCCUAGUGUUUUAC